GACGAACGCUGGCGGCGUGCUUAACACAUGCAAGUCGAACGGAAAGGCCCUGCUUUUGUGGGGUGCUCGCGUGGCGAACGGGUGAGUAACAUGUGAGUAACCUGCCCUUGACUUUGGGAUAACUUCAGGAAACUGGGGCUAAUACCGGAUAGGAGCUCCUGCUGCAUGGUGGGGGUUGGAAAGUUUCGGCGGUUGGGGAUGGACUCGCGGCUUAUCAGCUUGUUGGUGGGGUAGUGGCUUACCAAGGCUUUGACGGGUAGCCGGCCUGAGAGGGUGACCGGCGACAUGGGGACUGCGGGAGGGCGCAGACUGCAACGGGAGGCAGCAGGGGGGAAUAUUGCACAGUGGGCGGAAGCCUGAUGCGGCAACGUCGCGUGCGUGAUGACGGCCUUCGGGUGAGAAACCGCUGUCGCCUGUGACGAAGCGGUAGUGACGGUAAUGGGUGAAGAAGCACCGGCUAACUACGUG
rnacentral:rRNA from 1 species